UACGAAGGGGGCUAGCGUUGCUCGGAAUCACUGGGCGUAAAGCGCACGUAGGCGGAUUGUUAAGUCAGGGGUGAAAUCCUGGAGCUCAACUCCAGAACUGCUUUUGAUACUGGCGAUCUUGAGUCCGGGAGAGGUGAGUGGAACUGCGAGUGUAGAGGUGAAAUUCGUAGAUAUUCGCAAGAACACCAGUGGCGAAGGCGGCUCACUGGCCCGGUACUGACGCUGAGGCACGAAAGCGUGGGGAGCAAACAGG
rnacentral:rRNA from 1 species